AAAUUGAAGAGUUUGAUCAUGGCUCAGAUUGAACGCUGGCGGCAGGCCUAACACAUGCAAGUCGAACGGUAACAGGAAGCAGCUUGCUGCUUCGCUGACGAGUGGCGGACGGGUGAGUAAUGUCUGGGAAACUGCCUGAUGGAGGGGGAUAACUACUGGAAACGGUGGCUAAUACCGCAUAACGUCGCAAGACCAAAGAGGGGGACCUUCGGGCCUCUUGCCAUCAGAUGUGCCCAGAUGGGAUUAGCUUGUUGGUGAGGUAACGGCUCACCAAGGCGACGAUCCCUAGCUGGUCUGAGAGGAUGACCAGCCACACUGGAACUGAGACACGGUCCAGACUCCUACGGGAGGCAGCAGUGGGGAAUAUUGCACAAUGGGCGCAAGCCUGAUGCAGCCAUGCCGCGUGUAUGAAGAAGGCCUUCGGGUUGUAAAGUACUUUCAGCGGGGAGGAAGGUGUUGCGGUUAAUAACCGCAGCAAUUGACGUUACCCGCAGAAGAAGCACCGGCUAACUCCGUGCCAGCAGCCGCGGUAAU
rnacentral:rRNA from 1 species